AGAGUUUGAUCAUGGCUCAGAUUGAACGCUGGCGGCAGGCCUAACACAUGCAAGUCGAGCGGUAGCACAAGAGAGCUUGCUCUCUGGGUGACGAGCGGCGGACGGGUGAGUAAUAUCUGGGAAACUGCCUGAUGGAGGGGGAUAACUACUGGAAACGGUAGCUAAUACCGCAUAACGUCUUCGGACCAAAGUGGGGGACCUUCGGGCCUCACGCCAUCAGAUGUGCCCAGAUGGGAUUAGCUAGUAGGUGGGGUAAUGGCUCACCUAGGCGACGAUCCCUAGCUGGUCUGAGAGGAUGACCAGCCACACUGGAACUGAGACACGGUCCAGACUCCUACGGGAGGCAGCAGUGGGGAAUAUUGCACAAUGGGCGCAAGCCUGAUGCAGCCAUGCCGCGUGUGUGAAGAAGGCCUUCGGGUUGUAAAGCACUUUCAGCGAGGAGGAAGGGUAGUGUGUUAAUAGCACAUUGCAUUGACGUUACUCGCAGAAGAAGCACCGGCUAACUCCGUGCCAGCAGCCGCGGUAAUACGGAGGGUGCAAGCGUUAAUCGGAAUUACUGGGCGUAAAGCGCACGCAGGCGGUUUGUUAAGUCAGAUGUGAAAUCCCCGCGCUUAACGUGGGAACUGCAUUUGAAACUGGCAAGCUAGAGUCUUGUAGAGGGGGGUAGAAUUCCAGGUGUAGCGGUGAAAUGCGUAGAGAUCUGGAGGAAUACCGGUGGCGAAGGCGGCCCCCUGGACAAAGACUGACGCUCAGGUGCGAAAGCGUGGGGAGCAAACAGGAUUAGAUACCCCGGUAGU
rnacentral:rRNA from 1 species